UUUUUUUUUUUUUUUUUUUUUUCACGAUCAGUUUUCUUUUGCUCUUUCCGAGGUUUGGGGUUUGGGACUUCCUACGAACAAUGGUGCGGUUGGAGUUUCUGAGGUUGUUUCGUCUCCGCCUCCUCUCGAAGUAUCUUUCUUGUUUUAUCUUUUUUUAGAUAGGUACUCUUUUUAUUCUCCGUGGUUUUUCUUUUGGGUUUUUCUGUAGAGAUUUUAAUGAAGUUCCAUCCUUAAUUCGCGUUUCUGGUUCUUCUGACUACCGUCCAUCUACCGCUCUUUCUGUCUGUGCCGUCCGCUGGUCGCCGCCGCUAUCGGCCCCGCCUCGAAUCUCUCCGUCCAAGCGCUAAGGAGGCAGCACAGCAGCAGUGUGCAGGCUCGCCCCGCCCCCCCUCUCUACCUCUCUCUCUCUCUCUCUUCUCCGUCCUCUCUCCGCAGCCCCCGCCUCCUCCGGUCGCGCGUGGCCACCCCUGGCCUCGCCCGUCAGCACAGCAGUUUCCAACGCCCAAGUUCUAAAGCAGAUUACACAUUACACACUGGUGGCGGGAAAAGGCACCAUACAUGCCAAUUCUUGCCUUUUAUAUAGAUAGAUGAAUCGAUGAAUGCCGGUGAAUCCUUAAAUUUUGGUAAAGAUGGCUUUGCUUCUCGGAAUUCGAAGGCCAUUCUCUGUUGCAGUUCAACGGCUCCACCUCCAAUGCUUCUCCACUUCGCUUCCCUAUGUUAAGGAGGAGCAGAAAAUGAGUUCUAUGGAAACAGGUGGCAAGUCAAGUUUUAUUCAUCCAUCCGCCGUUGUUCAUCCAGAUGCCAUAUUAGGUCAGGGUGUUUCUGUUGGUCCUUUUUGCACAGUUGGAUCUUCUGCAAAGUUAGGGAACGGUUGUCAGUUAUACCCAGGGAGCCACGUCUGUGGACAUACAAAGAUAGGGGACGACUGCACUUUGAUGAUGGGCGCUGUAGUUGGUGAUGAUCUUCCUGGUAGUACUGUUAUUGGAAAUAACAAUUUAAUUGGGCAUCAUGCUGUGGUAGGCAUUAAAUGUCAAGAUUUGAAAUAUAAGCCAGGAAAUGAAUGUUUUCUUGAGAUUGGGGACAAUAAUGAGAUCAGAGAAUAUGUAUCUAUCCAUAGAUCUUCACGCCCAGACGAAAGAACAAUCAUUGGCGCUAACAAUCUCAUAAUGGGGUCUUGUCACAUCGCACAUGACUGCAAAAUGGGUAACCAUAACAUUUUCGCAAAUAACACUCUGUUAGCCGGCCAUGUAAAUGUGGAGAAUUAUACUCACACAGCAGGGGCCACCGUUGUACAUCAGUUUUGUCAUAUUGGUUCUUUUUCUUUCAUUGGUGGCGGGUCAGUGGUUUCUCAAGAUGUACCCAAAUACACAAUGGUGUCUGGUGAACGAGCUGAGCUACGUGGAUUAAAUCUUGAAGGCCUAAGGCGCCGUGGGUUUUCAGUUGGGGAGAUAAAGAGCCUGAGAGCAGCUUAUCGAAAAAUAUUUAUGCCUAGUGAAGGUAGUUCUCAUAGCAUUGAAGACCGGCUGGCCGAAUUGGAGAAGGAUGAGGAACUGGGCCAAGUUGCAGCCGUCCGUUCGAUGGUAGAAUCCAUUCGGGAUUCUUUUGCAGAGGAUCGCCGUGGUAUUUGCAAGUUUAGGUGACGGAUUGGAUUAUAAUAUUGAAUGCUAGAUGUCAUCAACCAGUGCCAUAAUGUUGAUCUGGCAAAAACCUGAGGCUUUUUUCUUGUAUAACAGAAUUUCAGUCAAGGCAUUCAAGAUUUUUAGUUUGGGACAAACUAGUUUGAGCAUGUAAAUUUUGCAUCCACCAAUUUGAAUGCAUGAUCUAUCCAUUUGGAUUCUGCAAGUAUAUCCCCAACAUAAGAAAGAAGGUAAACGUUCGCAAAUUCUCUUGAUGGAUUUUGGUGAUAUAUUACAGUGUGGGCAUGAUUAGAAAGCUACUGUCGUGAGGUUAUCUCAAUGCAUUGUGGGUGGUGAUGACAUUUCUAAAAUUUUAGGUAGCGCACUGUUUUUUUUUUUUUUUUUUUUUUGAGCGAAAUGUAGCUCACUGUUAAAUGUAAAGUAAAGCAUGGGAAAUAGAAGAGAGAGAAGAGGCAGUAGAAAUGAGAGAAGAUAUUUACAUUCUUCAAAACUGAUUUUCAGAGAUGGAAGGGGCAUUAGAAAUGAGAGAAGAUAUUUUCAUUCUUCAAAAUUGA